GUCAGACGAGGCGAGGAGGCGGAGGCGGUCGCACAUAAACCCUUCGGUAACGUGUGCAAAAGGAGUGCUGUCAUUUUGUUGCCCCAAUUGCGGCCUAAAGGACGCGCACACAUUUGAGAAACAUCCGAAAAAGUCAUACGUCACCUGACCCCGGCACAAGCAAGCAAUAGUAACGUAAGACAAAAGCCUCGAGCUCGUCGUCUUUGUGGGUCAGUGAUGCAACGGGAGUGACGCAGCAGGCGAACUCCCCAACUAUACAUGGCAACGCCAGGAUCGCGGAGGAAGCCGUGCCAGAACUUUGUCCCGCGGACCGCCAACGAGGCGACGGCUCGGAGAGAAGAUGGUGAAAUUCUGACCCGGAGCGGAAGGCGAAGCGACGGGGUGUGAUCCUAAAUAGCAGGAGCAUUUCCCUGACUGCGCGUUUGAAGACUUCCGCACGUUUGGUAUGACUGAUCUGAAAACAUGGUCAUAAUGCAGAAACGUUAUUACCGUGAUGUCAAUCUCCAGGAUUAACAGAAGGUAUUCGGAGCGGAAUAUUCAAAAUGGCUGAGUGAAUUUGUUGCAUUUCGUGAUGUUCAAAAGGGUUUUUUUUUUUACAUACUGUACUUUGCAGAAUGUAAUUACAAAUGGAUAUGGUUUAACGGAUACAAUGAAACACAAAAGCAUAUAGAGUGUACUUGUUUUUCCACUCUGCUGGUACUUUAACACUUAUUUCCUCACCUGUUCCUGGUUGGCUAUUAGGAAGCUCACCUGCUCCUGAUUGUCAAUCAGGAGUGUCACCUGCCUAUCAACACUGGUUCAUUGUUUCCUGUAUGCCACAGUGUGUUUUGUUUCAAUUUUGCUUGUUACCUGGCUGCUCUACGUGCCUUACAUUAGUUCUUUUUUUCAUUCUACUUAAAGAAUUAAAGCUUUUUACCUGCA